UGAGCAGGUGCAAUGAAAGAUCCUAGAA
rnacentral:piRNA from 1 species